UACGUAGGGUGCGAGCGUUGUCCGGAAUUAUUGGGCGUAAAGGGCUCGUAGGCGGUCUGUUGCGUCAGGAGUGAAAACUCGGGGCUUAACCCCGAGCCUGCUUCUGAUACGGGCAGACUAGAGGUAUGCAGGGGAGAACGGAAUUCCUGGUGUAGCGGUGAAAUGCGCAGAUAUCAGGAGGAACACCGGUGGCGAAGGCGGUUCUCUGGGCUGACACUGACGCUGAGGAGCGAAAGCGUGGGGAGCGAACAGG
rnacentral:rRNA from 1 species